rnacentral:rRNA from 1 species
CCUACGGGCGGCAGCAGUGAGGAAUAUUGGUCAAUGGGCGCUAGCCUGAACCAGCCAAGUAGCGUGAAGGAUGACUGCCCUAUGGGUUGUAAACUUCUUUUAUAUGGGAAUAAAGUGCAGUAUGUAUACUGCUUUGCAUGUACCUUAUGAAUAAGGAUCGGCUAACUCCGUGCCAGCAGCCGCGGUAAUACGGAGGAUCCGAGCGUUAUCCGGAUUUAUUGGGUUUAAAGGGAGCGUAGGCGGGUUGUUAAGUCAGUUGUGAAAGUUUGCGGCUCAACCGUAAAAUUGCAGUUGAUACUGGCAUCCUUGAGUACAGUAGAGGUAUGCGGAAUGCGCAGUGUAGCGGUGAAAUGCUUAGAUAUUGCGCAGAACUCCGAUUGCGAAGGCAGCAUACCGGCGGCGAUCUGACGCUGAGGCACGAAAGCGUGGGUAUCGAACAGGAUUAGAUACCCUUGUAGUC